GGUUCAUCAUCAUGCCACUAAAGCUUAUUUUUUCCUGCUUAGGACUAAUGUUACUCCAGAAGUGAUGGUUACUGGUACUUGAUAGGGUCCAUCAUGGAGCAGUAAUCCAGGAAUCCAGCAGGGAGCAGGAGAGGAUCAUUUUGCAUCCAUCAGCUCUCAGUGAAAUCCUAAUAAUGAAGGUCAGAGGAAAUGAUUCACUUGUUAUCAGGUUUGGAAUAAAAGGUGUGAUUCCAGAGGGAAAUAUUCACCUGUUAAAAUUCUGUUGGAUAAAGGAAAAGAGGGAGGAAGAAGCUGGGGAAUGGACAGGUGGAUUUUUGGUGGAUACAGGGAUAGACAUGGGAAGGGGCUCUUAGGUAAAAUAUACAUCAUGGGUACCACCUUGAAAAGCCCCAACUGCUCUUCUUUCCAAGCUCUGACAUUCCAGAGGGGUAACCAGUGGUUAGUAUAUUCAUUUCUAUAUUCAUUGGAUGCCCAGUGCCUUGUUGGGAAGAGAUAAUAUUAGGAAAUGAACAAAUGCAGGGAUGUAAUUCCUGAUAGUAAAGCCCUGAGGGCCCAGGCUUUGAUAUUCUUCUAGCAACCAAUCCCAACAUAGGGAAUCCUGGAGGAGGUGGAAAAUACUGUCAGUCUGUUGGUGGAAUUCCUGGGAAAUUAAAAGCAGCUGAAGCAGUAAGAACAGAGCUGGAACCAGACUUCAGCCAGGUAAGGCAGACACCAAAUCCUUUGGAAUUAGAGGUAGGCAGGGGAAAGAAGAAUUAACUGCUAAAUUUGUACCCCAUGGAUUCCUGAGCAUGAUCCCAGCAGGGAAACUCUACGAGAAGACCUACACUGGGGACACUGGGCCUUGGAAUUGUCUGAAAGCACAAGGAUCAGCUGCCAAAUGUGGAGGUGUUAUCAGACAAUCACUCAGGAGUGUUUAGCUCCUAAGGCAAAUCAAUCUCCUGCCUUGUGAAGCUCAGAAAUCUGGGAAGACCCCAAGUAAUGUAGGGAAUGGACUGGCAGAUAAAACUGCUGGGGAAUGGUAAAGAAAAACAUUCUAAUAGGGGGGCUUAUUUUGUACAGGAAUUGUGCAAAAAUUGUCCAAAAGAUCAGGAAUCAAACUGGAUUGACAUAUUUCUUGGACACCACAAUCCAGUGGGAAAGCUAAAAGAAAACCUAAGAAAGCAAAUGACCCAAAUCUUCCAAAACCCUCAAAUGGCCACAUUCCCUAGCAUUGCUGAGGACUUCAGCCAAGCUCCAAGAAAAAGCCUAACCAGUAACCUGGGAUAUCCAAGUCCAUCCUACCCAGUGGGGAGGCUGGGAGUACAACCAAACAUGGAGAAUUUCUGGGAAAGCCCUGGAGAAGAAACAAGGCUCCAGCUUUGCAGGUCUGUGUCAUAACCCAUUCUGUCAGCCACUCCUGUUUGAUCCCAGUGGAUUUGUCCUCUUGUAUUCAACCUCAGCAGCACUAAUUGCUGGGAAUUAAGCAGCCUUUGGUACUUCUUUUCCAUAAAACCUCUCCAUCCCACCCUUCAGUUCUGUUGUGCAGAGAGGAAAAACCCAAAACUUCUUUUUUUCCCCUCUCCCCUUCCCUUUGCCUCUUCUUUUUGUGCAGGCUUUGGGCUAUCCAGUUGUGGAUGUGGAUUAGGCAGAGCACCUUGGAAGCUGAGCUCAAUGUGGAAUUGGAGCAGUUUUGGAACCACCACGGAUACUCCCAAGCUCAAGACUAAGGUGGUGUUCCCUGAGGGGCUGCAGGUCCCUGGAUGUGGAGGGAGGAGGUCUCUGCUGGAGACUGGAGAAAUGUCCCUGCUGGUUGCUGGGUCCUCGGUGGGCAGAGAACUCUGAUCUCAGCAAGAUGUGUUUGUGAGUAUUGAAUCAAUCCUACCUCCUUUUUAAUGAGUUGUUUUAAUUAGUCAUCAGCAGGGAACACUUUUAGCCAGCUUUAGUUAAGUUUCUUUUUCACAGAUUUCUUGCUGUUUUGAUCAUGAAAUCACCAAAACCUUAAGUUUGCUAAAUAAACCCUGAAAU